GGACGAUGAAGGAAACAUCUGUGCUGUGUCUGCUCUGAGUCGAGGAAACACAGCAGGCAGUGAAAAGAUCAAAUCAUUCACUCAUUAUAUCAACACAGCUUACUUCUAUUCACUGACAUCUUAAUCCUGGGUUCUCCUGAGCUUGAACCUGAACGUCAGACAAACCAUCGACUGCAGGAGACAUGAGCCUCAGACCAUCUCACCAUCAUCAUCUUCAUCAUCACCAUCAUCAUCAUCAUCAUCAUCAUCAUCAGACAUGGCUGGUAAGGACAUGAGGAGGAAACAGUAGGAGCUGUGUGAGGCUACUAAAGGCAGUGGAUCCCUCAGCAGCUGGAUUACAAAGAGCACAGUCUACAGUCUCAGAUCAACACAGCCCUGCCCUCCAGCACUAUCAGCAGCAGGAGCAGCAGAAACACCUCAACAGCAACAUUGUACCCAUCAGUCCAAAGAGGGAGAGAGGAAAGAGGGGAACGUGAGGAGAAAGUACAAGGUCAGGAAGAACCAGCACAGAAAACCAACAACAGCAGCAACAAGAAUCACAGAAACACUCAGACCAGCGAUGAGUCCAACAGGUGCAACUGUGUCUCCUCCUGUCUGACCUGCAGCAGCCAAUUUGAGGUGUUCUCCCCUUGAGCCCAUGUUAAAAGGCUGGCUUCACUACACACCACAGAAAGAGAAACAGGACAAAGUUCUGCAGUAUUUAAACAUGAACGUGGAUAUUUGACCUGGUGUAAUGUGUUCGUCCCUCAGUCUGCUGAGAUGAUCACCACUCAUCUCUUCAAGCGACCAGAAAACCAACAACAGCAGCAACAAGAAGCCCAGCAGGAACACUCAGACCAACAAUCAGUCCAACAGAUCCUCCUGUGUGACCUGCAGAUCCACCCGGUUCUUAAAAGAUGGAUGCUGACCAUCUGGAUCCAGCCGGUCAUCCCGGAAAAAAAGCACAUAAUUAUCUCCCAGGUCAGCUCUGUUCCUCUUCAUACCUUGCAUGAUUUUGUCUGAUGGAACUCGACAUGGUAGAACUACGUCCUGUCCAGGCUCAGCUGUGACGGUGUUCUGGGCUGAAACAGGAAACAACACAGAGCAGAGAGGUUAACGGUCAAAGUACAACUAUUCACUUCUACAUCAGCUAAUCAGAGAGAGAAGAGGGGAAAAAAAACCAAACUUCUUGUACUUUAUUUAAGAAGAAAGUUGCCAAACCUUUGAAUCUGUAAGUCAGAUCAGACUCUUGUUAUAUACAAGCAGUUUUCAGUUCUCUCUGGGUAGUUUGGCUUCCUCCAACAGUCAUGCAGUUUGUUGCACAGUAAGUAUUAAAUCAUAGAUUUUAAAGACAUUUUUCUGAAUCUGAUAAUCCGGCUCUUUGGAAAAGAGGAAGAAAUAAGCAGAUGUGGGACAUUCACUAAAAAGCAUAGAGGAUUUAUUUGUUUAUAUGGGGAAAAAGAGAAAGAAGUGGGUAUUGAGAAUGUCUCCUGUGGCUGCUGUGGAGGUGGAAGUAGAACAGAAGCCACUUGACAUUAAGGUUGGGCGAUGUGUGAAAUUUUUCCAGUCAACAAGGGCGACUUUUUAAAGGGUGGAACAACUGAUUUGCACAUUUAGAAUUUAUACGUUUUGUUUGGAGGGAAUAUUUUACCUUCUUCUCUUGUUUGUUUCAGUAUUAAUAUUAGAGUUGGAUGUCUCGAGAUCGGUCUUGGUCUCGAGACCGGUCUCGAGACCACUUUUACGUGGUCUUGGUCUCGACGGACUUUUGUCUUGGUCUCGGUCUUGGUCUCGACGGACUUUUGUCUUGGUCUUGUCUUGGUCUCGACGGACUUUUGUCUUGGUCUCGGUCUUGGUCUCGCUGUUUCGGUCUUCCGUUCUCAAAUCGACAUAGUGUUCGGGAGAUUUGGAGUCAACCAUCAACGGAGCGGGGGGGUGGCUUACUGGGCUUAAGCCUGGGUCAUUUUUUCAGAAGCAUGGGGUUUUUUGGAGUGUAAUUUGUUAGUUAGAUGCCUGGCUGACAACUGUAUAAAACAAAAACAACACACGAAGCACAGAGCGCACCGUCGUAAAUUCCCCCUAAUUUUGGUUUGAUCCGAGCUUGGACACUAGGCGACUGAGCACAGCACGCAUGUGAGCGAGGGGGGAGAAGCUGCUGCCUGCGAGUUUGCUGCAGACAGAGGAGAGCUUAAGUUCGACCAGGUACCAAAGCAAAUCAUUCGUACUGAACUAAUAAUGUAAAUAUGACGGUGUAUCACAAAAGAUUGAUAUCAAACUGAUCAGUUGGUUGCGUUACUUACUCUUCGAGUGAAUCAACAAAUGGAUCAAUAAAAAGCCGAACAACAAUGCUGAUUUUUUAGAAAGUCUUAGCUUACAUUUCAUAUUUUCAGUUGUUACCCUCCACGGCUAAACAAACUCUCUAAAUCGGUUUCAAUUGUGUACUGAUGAACACAACAAUGGACAUAAGGAGCUUCUUUCAAAGAAAAAACUCAGGUAGAUGUUAUUUUAUAUAUUAUGCUUUGUAUGUUGUUCAGUAUAUCUAUGCAAAACAAGAGGAAUUUCAAUACACAGCAUUAUAUUCACAGAUGAAACCAGAUAUUUACAUACACUUUAGGUAGAAAACAUAAAAACUAUUUUUUACUGUUAAACAUCAAUUUAGAGUAAACUUUUGUUUUAGAUAAAUAAAUGUUGAAAUAUCUUUUGAAUUAGUUAAAUGUCAGAAUAAAAAGAGGGAGCUGUC
ensembl:lncRNA